rnacentral:misc_RNA from 1 species
AGUGUAUAGGAAUGAAACCAAGAACAGAUAGAGAGGAGACAAUUCCUGAGGUCAACAAUGAGUCUAUCAGUGAAUUGUCUGAGAAGGUUGCAAAGCUCCAUGCCUGAUACCUGAUACUUGUUAUAAUCUCAUGUAGAGAUUCAAAUGGCUUAACCUUAUCAUCUGCCCAUUUCCCUCCAUUAUAUGAACAGAGGGUGUUUCUCAAUGACCUAAAAAGAGGAUCAGGUAGAAGCUAACAUAGGACUUCAUUGGCUUAGUUACCCAUCAUUAAUGUCGCUAGAUUACAGGGAAGAGAUGCUUCCUUGUUAAUAGCUCCAUCUGUAAUCCUUUGUAUCUGGGCAGAAGUCCAUCUGCAUUUUGGACAAACAGCAUAGUAUUAUUUGUUAUUAUUCCAAUUUUUAUCCCUUUUUGCUUAGUGUGAUGGCAGGAAAAUAGAGUUUUGUCCUGAAGAGGGGGUGG